CUGACAAGUCCCACAUCAAAUAUAUCAGUACAUAGCUUUGGAUCCAUACUAUCAUUUUAUGAUAGACACUUGAUAGGGAGAAUUAAUACAGCAUAAAACAUGUCCAUACAACCCUUACACUUUACAGCAACUGUAAAAUAUACAUGUUCCACCUCAGGAACCGUUAAAGGGUGCAUUUUUAACUUAUUUUAUGUUUUUUUUAGCC
rnacentral:lncRNA from 1 species